GCGAACGGGUGAGUAAUACAUCGGAGCAUGCCCAGUCGUGGGGGAUAACACUUCGAAAGAAGUGCUAAUACCGCAUACGUCCUGAGGGAGAAAGCGGGGGAUCGCAAGACCUCGCGCGAUUGGAGUGGCCGAUGUCAGAUUAGCUAGUUGGUGGGGUAAGGGCCUACCAAGGCAACGAUCUGUAGCUGGUCUGAGAGGAUGAUCAGCCACACUGGGACUGAGACACGGCCCAGACUCCUACGGGAGGCAGCAGUGGGGAAUUUUGGACAAUGGGGGCAACCCUGAUCCAGCCAUUCCGCGUGAGUGAAGAAGGCCUUCGGGUUGUAAAGCUCUUUCGGCAGGAACGAAACGGCGAGCUCUAACAUAGCUCGCUAAUGACGGUACCUGAAGAAGAAGCACCGGCUA
rnacentral:rRNA from 1 species